ACCACAGCACUUUGUCUGGUCUUGUUUGUUUGUUGUAUAUGGACUCACUUACCUGUCAGCACUUACCUUGUCCAGUGUAUGCUACUGUCUCCAGCGUCUCCCUGAUCAUCUGUGUCUCUAGUGUCUUCCUUCCCUGGACUUCUUCCACACUCCAUAAGUGAGUGCUCGGCUGCUCAGCUCCACGAUCUCCUCCAUCCAUCUGCAAAACAAAGGACUGUGAGUGGUGCAGCUUUUGAUGAUUUUCCAGCUGUUGUCCUGUUUCUUGGUCUCACUUGUCACUGACAACUUCAGCACUCACCUAGCAUGUUCAACCAAUGCAGCAUCUGAUCAACCAAUGUUGAGUAUACUAGCUGGGAGAACAGGAUGGAGUCGUUCACCUGCAAGGGGGAUAUCCAAAACCACAAGCUCAGGCAUCAGAUAGAGGCACCCAAAACUUUGUUUUAGUCAAAUUAUGCAGCAUAGGUAUAUUUAACAAUGCAUAUUAAAGUUUUAGGGAUGGUUGCUAAUUGGUGUUCAUCUAAUACAGUGUUUCCCAAACUUUGUAGAGUAGUGUCCUUCUGCAUAUUUGCUGUAUCAAAGUCCUUCCGUGGACUUUUUCGCUUUGUACUUAUUUAUGCUGUUAAAAUAUGUGUUAGGGUUAGUUAAAUUUUUAGCUUUUUGUAUUCAUGGCUUUGUCUCUUGUACCAUCUAAGCUUUUGUUUGUUUCCUUUUGCCUGACUGUGCAUUUGGUUAUACACUUUUAAUUUUCUGUUGAUGAUUUUGCCAUUUGUAUUCUACCUUUCAUUUUUUUUGCAUUACUUGCCAUUUUUGCUAUUGUAUGUCCCUUUACCAUUUUUAUUGUAUGAAAUUAAACUGAAUUUUGUCUGCCUGUUAUACUAUUAUACAAUCUAUUUCAUUGUAAAUCUUUGUAUGCAAUUAGAUAACAGACUUUAAUGCAAUUAUUUUUAUUUAUUUAUGCUCCUUUAUUUUUGUCUGUACCCUUUUAUUGUAUGUCCCUUUUAUUCUACCUGUGCACAUCUGCUCAUUUUA